CCGCGUGAGGGAAGAAGGCCUUCUGGGUUGUAAACUGCUUUUAUCUGGGAAUAAAAAACCGAUGCGCGGGGAACUGAAGGUAACUGAAGGAAUAAGCAUCGGCUAACUACGUGCCAGCAGCCGCGGUAAUACGUAGGUGGCGAGCGUUGUCCGGAUUCAUUGGGUUUAAAGGGUGCGUAGGCGGCUGAUUAAGUCAGUGCUGAAAGCCCCCGGCUUAACCGGGGAGGUGGCAUUGAUACUGGUCGGCUUGAGUGCUGUCGAGGCAGGCGGAAUUGACGGUGUAGCGGUGAAAUGCUUAGAUAUCGUCAGGAACACCGAUAGUGAAGGCAGCUUGCUAGAGAGCAACUGACGCUGAGGCACGAAAGUGUGGGGAGCAAACAGGAUUAGAUACCCUGGUAGUCCACACUGUAAACGAUGAUGACUCGCUGUUGGCGAUAUACGGUCAGCGGCCAAGCGAAAUCGUUAAGUCAUCCACCUGGGGAGUACGCCGGCAACGGUGAAACUCAAAGGAAUUGACGG
rnacentral:rRNA from 1 species